rnacentral:rRNA from 1 species
CGGGGGGAGCGAGCGUUGUUCGGAUUUACUGGGCGUAAAGGGCGCGUAGGCGGCCACCGCAAGUCGACUGUGAAAUCUCCGGGCUUAACCCGGAACGGUCAGCCGAUACUGCGGGGCUAGAGUGCAGAAGGGGCAACUGGAAUUCUCGGUGUAGCGGUGAAAUGCGUAGAUAUCGAGAGGAACACCUGCGGCGAAGGCGGGUUGCUGGGCUGACACUGACGCUGAGGCGCGAAAGCUAGGGGAGCGAACGGGAUUAGAUACCCCGGUAGUCCUAGCCUUAAACGAUGAAUGCUUGGUGUCUGGGGUUUUAUAGUCCCCGGGUGCCGUCGCUAACGCUUUAAGCAUUCCGCCUGGGGAGUACGGUCGCAAGACUG